AUGGCUGUCCUGGUGCUGCUCCUCUCCCUGGUGACAUUUCCAAGUGCCCUGUCCCAGAUACAGCUAAAGGAGUCAGGGCCUGGCCUAGUGCAGCCCUCACAGACCCUGUCGCUCACCUGCACUGUCUCUGGAUUCUCAUUAACGAACAAUCAUGUACACUGGGUCCGCCAGCCUCCAGGAAAGGGUCUGGAGUGGAUGGGAAUAAUAUAUAGUGGUGGAAGCACAGAUUAUAAUUCAGCUCUCCAGUCCCGAAUCACCAUCACCAGGGACACCUCCAAGAGCCAAGUUUUCUUAAAACUGAACAGUCUGCAAACUGAGGACACAGCCAUGUAUUACUGUGCCAGAGACACAGUGAGAGAACUCUAG